GGGGAUACAGCUCAGGGGUAGAGCGUUUGCCUAGUGUGCACAAGGCCCUGGGUUCAAUCCCCAGUACCCCCC